rnacentral:rRNA from 1 species
AGCGUACACGGUGGAUGCCCUGGCAGUCAGAGGCGAUGAAGGACGUGCUAAUCUGCGAAAAGCGCCGGUAAGGUGAUAUGAACCGUUAUAACCGGCGAUGUCCGAAUGGGGAAACCCGGUGCACUUCGGUGCAUCAUCGUUAGCUGAAUACAUAGGCUAACGAGGCGAACCGGGGGAACUGAAACAUCUAAGUACCCCGAGGAAAAGAAAUCAACCGAGAUUCCCCCAGUAGCGGCGAGCGAACGGGGAACAGCCCAGAGCCUGAAUCAGCUUGUGUGUCAGUGGAACGGUCUGGAAAGGCCGGCGAUACAGGGUGACAGCCCCGUACACGAAGGCACACAGGCUGUGAGCUCGAUGAGUAGGGCGGGACACGUGAUAUCCUGUCUGAAGAUGGGGGGACCAUCCUCCAAGGCUAAAUACUCCUGACUGACCGAUAGUGAACCAGUACCGUGAGGGAAAGGCGAAAAGAACCCCGGCGAGGGGAGUGAAACAGAACCUGAAACCGUGUACGUACAAGCAGUGGGAGCCUUCGUAAGAGGGUGACUGCGUACCUUUUGUAUAAUGGGUCAGCGACUUAUAUUCUGUAGCAAGGUUAACCGUAUAGGGGAGCCGAAGGGAAACCGAGUCUUAACCGGGCGUUAAGUUGCAGGGUAUAGACCCGAAACCCGGUGAUCUAGCCAUGGGCAGGUUGAAGGUUGGGUAACACUAACUGGAGGACCGAACCGACUAAUGUUGAAAAAUUAGCGGAUGACCUGUGGCUGGGGGUGAAAGGCCAAUCAAACCGGGAGAUAGCUGGUUCUCCCCGAAAGCUAUUUAGGUAGCGCCUCGUGAACUCAUCUCCGGGGGUAGAGCACUGUUUCGGCUAGGGGGCCAUCCCGGCUUACCAACCCGAUGCAAACUGCGAAUACCGGAGAAUGUUAUCACGGGAGACACACGGCGGGUGCUAACGUCCGUCGUGAAGAGGGAAACAACCCAGACCGCCAGCUAAGGUCCCAAAGUCAUGGUUAAGUGGGAAACGAUGUGGGAAGGCCCAGACAGCCAGGAUGUUGGCUUAGAAGCAGCCAUCAUUUAAAGAAAGCGUAAUAGCUCACUGGUCGAGUCGGCCUGCGCGGAAGAUGUAACGGGGCUAAACCAUGCACCGAAGCUGCGGCAGCGACACUAUGUGUUGUUGGGUAGGGGAGCGUUCUGUAAGCCUGUGAAGGUGUGCUGUGAGGCAUGCUGGAGGUAUCAGAAGUGCGAAUGCUGACAUAAGUAACGAUAAAGCGGGUGAAAAGCCCGCUCGCCGGAAGACCAAGGGUUCCUGUCCAACGUUAAUCGGGGCAGGGUGAGUCGACCCCUAAGGCGAGGCCGAAAGGCGUAGUCGAUGGGAAACAGGUUAAUAUUCCUGUACUUGGUGUUACUGCGAAGGGGGGACGGAGAAGGCUAUGUCGGCCGGGCGACGGUUGUCCCGGUUUAAGCGUGUAGGCUGACUUUCCAGGCAAAUCCGGAAAGUUAAGGCUGAGGCGUGAUGACGAGGCACCACGGUGCUGAAGUGACAAAUGCCCUGCUUCCAGGAAAAGCCUCUAAGCAUCAGGUAACAUCAAAUCGUACCCCAAACCGACACAGGUGGUCAGGUAGAGAAUACCAAGGCGCUUGAGAGAACUCGGGUGAAGGAACUAGGCAAAAUGGUGCCGUAACUUCGGGAGAAGGCACGCUGACAUGUAGGUGAAGCCCCUGCGGGUGGAGCUGAAGUCAGUCGAAGAUACCAGCUGGCUGCAACUGUUUAUUAAAAACACAGCACUGUGCAAACACGAAAGUGGACGUAUACGGUGUGACGCCUGCCCGGUGCCGGAAGGUUAAUUGAUGGGGUUAUCGCAAGAGAAGCUCCUGAUCGAAGCCCCGGUAAACGGCGGCCGUAACUAUAACGGUCCUAAGGUAGCGAAAUUCCUUGUCGGGUAAGUUCCGACCUGCACGAAUGGCGUAAUGAUGGCCAGGCUGUCUCCACCCGAGACUCAGUGAAAUUGAACUCGCUGUGAAGAUGCAGUGUACCCGCGGCAAGACGGAAAGACCCCGUGAACCUUUACUACAGCUUGACACUGAACAUUGAGCCUUGAUGUGUAGGAUAGGUGGGAGGCUUUGAAGCGUGGACGCCAGUCUGCGUGGAGCCGACCUUGAAAUACCACCCUUUAAUGUUUGAUGUUCUAACCUGGCGCCAUAAUCUGGCGUGGGGACAGUGUCUGGUGGGUAGUUUGACUGGGGCGGUCUCCUCCCAAAGUGUAACGGAGGAGCACGAAGGUCAGCUAAUCCUGGUCGGACAUCAGGAGGUUAGUGCAAUGGCAUAAGCUGGCUUGACUGCGAGAGUGACGGCUCGAGCAGGUGCGAAAGCAGGUCAUAGUGAUCCGGUGGUUCUGUAUGGAAGGGCCAUCGCUCAACGGAUAAAAGGUACUCCGGGGAUAACAGGCUGAUACCGCCCAAGAGUUCAUAUCGACGGCGGUGUUUGGCACCUCGAUGUCGGCUCAUCACAUCCUGGGGCUGAAGUAGGUCCCAAGGGUAUGGCUGUUCGCCAUUUAAAGUGGUACGCGAGCUGGGUUUAGAACGUCGUGAGACAGUUCGGUCCCUAUCUGCCGUGGGCGCUGGAGAAUUGAGGGGGGCUGCUCCCAGUACGAGAGGACCGGAGUGGACGCAUCACUGGUGUUCGGGUUGUCAUGCCAAUGGCACUGCCCGGUAGCUAAAUGCGGAAGAGAUAAGUGCUGAAAGCAUCUAAGCACGAAACUUGCCCCGAGAUGAGUUCU